CUGACGGAGCAACACCGCGUGGGGGAAGACUGCCCUUGGGUUGUAAACCCCUUUUCUCAGGGAAGAAGCUCUGACGGUACCUGAGGAAUAAGCCUCGGCUAACUCCGUGCCAGCAGCCGCGGUAAUACGGAGGAGGCAAGCGUUAUCCGGAAUUAUUGGGCGUAAAGCGUUCGUAGGCGGCGUAUCAAGUCUGCUGUCAAAAUCCGAGGCUCAACCUCGGGCCGGCCGUGGAAACUGAAACGCUAGAGUGCGGUAGGGGUAGAGGGAAUUCCCGGUGUAGCGGUGAAAUGCGUAAAUAUCGGGAAAAACAUCGGUGGCGAAAGCGCUCUACUGGACCGAAACUGACGCUGAGGGACGAAAGCUAGGGGAGCGAAUGGGAUU
rnacentral:rRNA from 1 species